rnacentral:rRNA from 1 species
AUGGCGGAGCACUUGGCUUCAAUUUUUGGCACGGAGAAGGAUAGGGUCAACUGCCCCUUUUACUUCAAGAUUGGAGCUUGCCGUCAUGGGGAUCGUUGCUCCCGUCUGCACAACAGGCCAACCACAUCGCCAACCAUUGUGCUUGCUAACAUGUACCAGCGGCCUGAUAUGAUUACCCCUGGAGUUGAUGCCCAAGGUGUGGCUAUUGCACCAGAGAAGAUGCAGGAGCACUUUGAGGACUUCUAUGAGGAUAUCUAUGAGGAGCUGAGCAAGUUUGGUGAGGUUGAGACCCUGAAUGUGUGUGACAACCUGGCUGACCACAUGAUCGGGAAUGUCUAUGUCCAGUUCAGGGAGGAGGAGCAGGCAGUGGCUGCUCACAAUGCCCUCCAAGGCCGCUUUUACUCUGGUCGCCCAAUCAUUGUGGAGUACUCUCCUGUGACGGACUUCCGUGAGGCGACCUGCAGGCAGUUUGAGGAGAACAGCUGCAACCGUGGCGGCUACUGCAACUUCAUGCACGUGAAGCAGAUUGGCAGGGAGCUCAGGAGGAAGCUAUAUGGGGGGCGGUCCAGGAGGAGCCACGGGAGGAGCCGCAGCCCAAGCCCACAGCACAGGAGGGACAACCGUGACCGUGGUGGUGACUUCCGCCGUGAUGGCCGGGAUGAAUACCGUGGUGGCAGGCAUGAUAGGUAUGAUGAUGGACCGAGGCGCAGGUAUGGUGGCAGCCCGCCACGACGUGGAAGGAGCCCUCCUGCAAGGGAGAACAGUGAGGAGCGCAGGGCCAAGAUCGAGCAGUGGAACCGUGAGAGGGAGGAGAAGUGA